rnacentral:rRNA from 1 species
UUUCACUAUGUAAUCUGUCUGGUAGAGACCUGAGCUCAGAACCUAAACAGGGUUGAACCUGGUUAGUACCUGGAUGGGAGACUGCUGAGAAUACCUCAUGCCACAGUGGGGC